AAGAUGCUGUCUUGGACUUUAUCUAUUCACCGCUUCCGGCGAGUGUGACGUCGGCGGCGCUUCUACUUCUGGAGCUGAUCAUUGUCGCUGGGAAAAGGAGCUGCAGGAACCGGCAGACAGGCAACAUUAGCAUUGAUAAGAAACUGACAGAUUCCAGAGAACACCGACAGGGU